GACGAACGCUGGCGGCGUGCUUAACACAUGCAAGUCGAACGGAAAGGCCCUGCUUUUGUGGGGUGCUCGAGUGGCUAACGGGUGAGUAACACGUGAGUAACCUGCCCUUGACUUUGGGAUAACUUCAGGAAACUGGGGCUAAUACCGGAUAGGAGCUCCUGCUGCAUGGUGUGGGUUGGAAAGUUUCGGCGGUUGGGGAUGGACUCGCGGCUUAUCAGCUUGGUGGUGGGGUAGUGGCUUACCAAGGCUUUGACGGGUAGCCGGCCUGAGAGGGUGACCGGCGACAUUGGGACUGAGAUUCGGCCCAGACUCCUUCGGGAGGCAGCAGUGGGGAAUGUUGCACAAUGGGCGGAAGGCUGAGGCAGCAACGCCGCGUGCGGGAUGACGGCCUUCGGGUUGUAAACCGCUUUCGCCGGUGACGAAGCGUGAGUGACGGUAAUGGGUAAAGAAGCACCGGCUAACUACGUG
rnacentral:rRNA from 1 species